rnacentral:rRNA from 1 species
AUUGAACGCUGGCGGCAUGCCUUACACAUGCAAGUCGAACGGUAACGGGCCUUCGGGUGCCGACGAGUGGCGAACGGGUGAGUAAUACAUCGGAACGUGCCCGAUCGUGGGGGAUAACGAGGCGAAAGCUUUGCUAAUACCGCAUACGAUCUACGGAUGAAAGCAGGGGACCGCAAGGACUUGGGGGGACGGAGCGGCCGAUGGCAGAUUAGGUAGUUGGUGGGAUAAAAGCUUACCAAGCCGACGAUCUGUAGCUGGUCUCAGAGGAUGAUCAGCCACACUGGGACUUAGACACGGCCCAGACUCCUACGGGAGGCAGCAGUGGGGAAUUUUUGACAAUGGUCGCAAGCCUGAUCCAGCCACGCCGCGUGCAGGAUGAAGGCCUUCGGGUUGUAAACUGCUUUUGUACGGAACGAAAAGCCUUCUUUUAAUACAGGAGGGUCAUGACGGUACCGUAAGAAUAAGCACCGGCUAACUACGUG